rnacentral:rRNA from 1 species
UACAGAGGGUGCAAGCGUUAAUCGGAAUUACUGGGCGUAAAGCGCGCGUAGGUGGUUCGUUAAGUUGGAUGUGAAAUCCCCGGGCUCAACCUGGGAACUGCAUUCAAAACUGUCGAGCUAGAGGACGGUAGAGGAAGGUAGAAUUCCCGGUGUAGUGGUGAAAUGCGUAGAUAUCGGGAGGAAUACCAGUGGCGAAGGCGGCCUUCUGGGCCGUUCCUGACGCUCAGACGCGAAAGCUAGGGGAGCAAACGGG